UUUUAUGUAUAUGUUGCUGAGAUUUUAGGCCCACAAAGCCCAUCCUUUGACAAAGAGGAUGUGUCACUUUCGUAAAUUUCUCAUCCCUAAACCUAGGCCGUCCUGCUUCCCCUUCCCACUCAAGAGGACGAUUGCAAAACGUCUGCCGUUAUGGCAUCGACUCCUCUACACCCACUACUUGAUCUUCAUUGCUUCUUAACUUUUUCUUCACUGCCGAGCUUGAAAACUAUCUAUAUAGACUGGCAUGAGAAUCUGCAGAGAAAAUCAUUUGCUCCUUCAUCAAUCAUAGAACACUCAGUCUCUUUCAGCCAUCUCCGACUAUGGAAAAUCAUCAACUUCAGUUCGUUGAGUGUAAGGCUGAUCGCUAGAUGAAUGUCGUUAAACUUUUGGCAAAAGGAAAAUCACAUAUCUCACUGAGAAAGAGAUAAGUGACGUCAAAUGGCUACUUGAUUUAGCUACAGUUGAUCCAAAUGUAAAAAGUGGUUUAAGGUGGCCGUUUGGUAAACCUAACUCUAAGGCUUAGGGUGAGAGAGACUGAUAGAUUCAAUGAGAGGAUUGGAACGGGGCAAGUCAAUAGGGAGGUGAUUCUGAUGCUCAAAGACAUGAACUCUAAGUUACAGGUACAUUAUUGUACUCUUUUGUAUCUUUGAAACUCUACUGGAAGUGAAGCUUUGUUUGCUACUUUUUGGUCUGCAGGAGCAGAACAUUGACAGGGGUUGUUUUUUGGAAAUGCUCAGAGACGUUCUUAGAACCUUGUGGGAUUUCUUGCAUUGUGAAGCCUAUCUUACAUGAUAAAGAACAAUGUGAUGUUGAUGGUGCUGUUGAAUUUCUCUCUCUCUUUUAGAUUCUGUUGACCUUCUGGUACAAUAUAUAUAUAUUUUUUUUUAAAAUUGUGUGUGUUGUUAAAGAUUAGAGCUUUGCGUGUUGUCCAAAAACGAAUAGAACUUGUGCUAUUGCGUUUCUCUUUUGCAUUUAGCUGCUUUUUUGGUGCAGUAAUAUUGUGUCUUAAUAUUACUUCUUUUUUCUAACGUAUAGACACACAAAACCAGGCGGCAAGUUUGGCCUUCUGGUUGAACUUUCGCCACAAUAAUGUAGAAUAUGUUCCUACAAAUGUCCCAACUUCAAACUUGCAAGUUGCAACAUAUAAUGAUAAGGUUGUACCAAGCCAUAGAUUCUUUGUUGACUUUGACUUGGGAAAGGUGACACAAUUGCAAUUGAGUAGGUUCAAAUAUUUUUAUUCUCUUCUGAUGUUUUGUGAUCACUGAUCUUAUCGGGUCAAUGCAGUGAAGUUCAGUGACUCAUCAGCUGCCUUCGAUCAUUCGUAACGUGUAUGGGACUGCUGAUCCCAUUGUUUCGAGCCUGUUCAGGUGUUUCUUCCUUCCUUUCCAUAUCUAUUACUUGAUUACUAAUACGUUUCUGGAUAGUCAUGUCUGUUGUUUAACCAAAGACUGAGACUACAGCCACUAAUGCGUAUGGUGUGGAAAAAGAUGUUGGAGCCAUUUUCUCUUCUCUGAGUUAAAAGUUUUUAAUAAAUUUCUGUUGUAUUUGGCUCUUUAAAUCUUCGUGUUAGUUUCCGAACAUGAAAGCAUCAAUUUGUAUUUUCAUACAUAGGUAAGUUCAGUUUGACAGAAAAUCAUCAAACUUAUUUGCUUAAACAAGUACGCUUCAUAUAUUUGACAAUGUGAU